rnacentral:ncRNA from 1 species
CGCUAGGGGUGCCCCCUUCGACCGGCAGGUCGACGUAAUGGCUGGGCUGAGAGAUACCCUUUGAACCUGAACCGGCUGACACCGGCGUAGGAAAUGCGUU